rnacentral:lncRNA from 10 species
GCGCCUGGCCUGCUGGCUUUUUUUGAACCUGCAUCAGCUUCAGUGGAAGACUUUCCUGCUGUGGCUUGUCACUGACCAGCGACUUCUUAGCCUGGACUACUGUGAGAGCAGGGUCUGGAUGCCAGGUGGGGAGGGCAGAGUCUCCUGCUGCAGCAGCACCUCAGCAGCCUUCAUCUCGUGAGGCCUGGAGCAUCCCAGGGGCUGCAGCUGUGCCAUGUGGGGGCAGCACAGCAGAGAGGGCGCUGAAAGCUGCAUUCCCCUCUGCCAUCUGUGGGUGCACCAGCCCAUUUUCACAAGUUUGCUGUUCUGGUAGAGGGAGCAGGAGUUGGGGGAAGCUAGGACAGUGGGCAUUAACCUUCUCCAGGAAGUGGGCAUCUUCGGCAGAGGCUCUUCAGGGCUGUGGCCGUGCAGGAGGGCCAGUAGUGUGUCCAGGUCACCACUCCCUGGGAUGUUCUUGACUUGGGUCCCAGGGAGAACCCUGCACGGCAGUCAACACCAGAAUGUCCCGGAUCUGCCCCAUGAGUCUUUUCCCUCCCUACCUGCAAAAUGAGAU